AUCACUAAUUGAAGAAAAUCCAAGCCUCUCUAUAAAGCUCGAGUCCCAAAUACUCCCCUCACAUUAAUAAGUUUUUUCUCAUACAAAAAAACGAUGUUAGAGGUACAAAAACAAACGUGUCGUGAAGUCUGGUUUUAAAAUCAAAAGGAAGAGAUUAGGUUAAUGGAAGAGUGUCUAUGAGCAACCCUCCAGGGAAGAAAUAGGCGAACGCCAAGGUCUCGAGGUUAGUCUCUGACUCAAGCACCAGCUCCUCCACUCUCUCCAUAUCAAACGAAUCGCCCUCGUGGAAGUUUUGCGAAAGAAAAGACUAUAAAUGAAGCAAAUCAUAUUUAUUCGGUUACCAAUUUUUAUAUGUAUUUGGUUACAAACUGUCCUUCGUUCCCAGCAUUAGGAUCAAUUUUAUUCUCUCUCUUUUAUGUAAUUGUAAGACAACAUUAGACAAAAGCUAUGGAAAUGUAACCAAUCAGCUGAUUUAUUAAUUUUGGCAGACGAAUUACAGAUAACAAAAGAAGAUUACAAUCAUAAUAUCACUUUGCUGACAAUAAUCAAUCAAUAAAUUCUAAAAAAAU
rnacentral:sRNA from 1 species